rnacentral:lncRNA from 1 species
GAAACCACAGGAUUACAGCACUUUCAGAUGGGAACCACUCAGACUGUGUCCUCUCUCUCUUACUCUCCCAGAGAAGAGAAGAACGAUCAUCAAUGGCCAAUGGCAGUUGCAGCGAAGCCACACCAAGAGCCGGCUUCAUGCUCAGGAGAGAACGCUGCACUUCCUGCUCAUGGUUUCCGGUGCUCUACAAGUUCACAGAAACUUCUCUAGUAGUGCACUGUAGAAAUGAUUCCUGAAAAUAUAGUCUUGAUGAGGUGACUCUUAAUCUGGAUUCUCCCCAUGUCAGUCUUCUGUAUGUGUACAAGUAUGUGUAGGUCUUCUCUUUUGGGCUAGUAGGUUUCCCCCAUAGAAAAAUUUCUAAUGUUCUACCUGGGAAUGGGAGGCUGCUGCUAGACUUUGGAUUGCUGAACAGGAUAAGGGCACAGUGGGCCUUGUUCUUCAUUAUGUAGACGAGCAGAAUACCUGUACUUUGUUGCUUCACUCCUGUCUUCAGCGAUGUCAGCGUGCCUGAAUCUGGGACCUCUUUGGUUCAACAUCAUCCAGGAGAAAACUUCUUAUCUAGGGUUGAGGGAGCAGUUGCAUGGCUCCGUGGAAUAUGGGAGAAAUUCUGGGAUUUGAACUGCUCUUUAUAUCACUGCUUUUCAAAUUUUAAGGGGUUUACAGAGCACUUGGGAGUUAAAGUGUAGGCCUGAUUCGGUAGGUCUGGAUGGGACCUGAAAUUCUGCAUUUCUAACACACUUUUAAGAGUGCCUAUGCUGCUGGCCCACAGGCUUUGGCUAACAAAGUUUUAGCUGAACUAUCAAUCCAACUUUCCUUGAAUGCUGAUGCUUUCCUAGGGUUCUGGGGACAUGAAUAAAGUGACAUUUCCUUGAUUUUUCC